rnacentral:tRNA from 1 species
GGUUCCAUAGUGUAGUGGUUAGCACAUCUGCUUUACACACAGAAGGUCCUGCGUUUGCGCCCCAGUGGACCCA